AGUCACUGACAUUAGAUACCCGUGUAGUCCAGGGUGUAAACGCUGCAGACUUGGUGUUGGGAACCCUUCGGGGGUGCUCAGUGCCGGAGAGAAGUUGUUAAGUCUGCUACUUGGGGAGUACGUCCGCAAGGAUGAAACUUAAAGGAAUUGGCGGGGGAGCACCGCAACGGGAGGAGCGUGCGGUUUAAUUGGAUUCAACGCCGAAAAACUCACCAGCAGCGACUGUUACAUGAAAGUCAGGUUGAUGACCUUACUAGAUUUUCAG
rnacentral:rRNA from 1 species